AUUGAACGCUGGCGGAAUGCUUUACACAUGCAAGUCGAACGGCAGCACGGGGCAACCUGGUGGCGAGUGGCGAACGGGUGAGUAAUACAUCGGAACGUGCCCAAUCGUGGGGGAUAACGUAGCGAAAGUUACGCUAAUACCGCAUACGAUCUACGGAUGAAAGCGGGGGAUCGCAAGACCUCGCGCGAAUGGAGCGGCCGAUGUCAGAUUAGGUAGUUGGUGGGGUAAAGGCUCACCAAGCCAACGAUCUGUAGCUGGUCUGAGAGGACGACCAGCCACACUGGAACUGAGACACGGUCCAGACUCCUACGGGAGGCAGCAGUGGGGAAUUUUGGACAAUGGGCGCAAGCCUGAUCCAGCCAUUCCGCGUGCAGGAUGAAGGCCUUCGGUUGUAAACUGCUUUUGUACGGAACGAAAAGGUCCUGGUUAAUACCUGGGGCUCAUGACGUACCGUAAGAAUAAGCACGGCUAACUACGUGCCAGCAGCCGCGGUAAUGAGU
rnacentral:rRNA from 1 species